UGGGGAAUAUUGGACAAUGGGCGAAAGCCUGAUCCAGCCAUGCCGCGUGUGUGAAGAAGGUCUUCGGAUUGUAAAGCACUUUAAGUUGGGAGGAAGGGCAGUUACCUAAUACGUGAUUGUUUUGACGUUACCAACAGAAUAAGCACCGGCUAACUCUGUGCCAGCAGCCGCGGUAAUACAGAGGGUGCAAGCGUUAAUCGGAAUUACUGGGCGUAAAGCGCGCGUAGGUGGUUUGUUAAGUUGGAUGUGAAAUCCCCGGGCUCAACCUGGGAACUGCAUUCAAAACUGACUGACUAGAGUAUGGUAGAGGGUGGUGGAAUUUCCUGUGUAGCGGUGAAAUGCGUAGAUAUAGGAAGGAACACCAGUGGCGAAGGCGACCACCUGGACUAAUACUGACACUGAGGUGCGAAAGCGUGGGGAGCAAACA
rnacentral:rRNA from 1 species